rnacentral:lncRNA from 10 species
CGUGGGGAGAGAAGUGAACCAGUGUCCGGGCCGCCUGCUGGGAAGGGAUGGCGCAGCACCAACUGCUGAGUACCCCCCUCUGGUCCCCACUCCCUGCACCUCACAUCCCCCAUCGAUCCGGGGGCGGCCCCUCCCCGCUGACGGAGAACCAGCAAGAAGGGCGGGGGAGAGAUGGAGCAACGGAAUAACCAAAAGGCACCUGGCAAAAAGCUCUAGGCAUUCUAACUCUAAAAGGACUGAUGAAGACGCUUUUCUGACUACAGACAGAAGGACUCCCCGUUACUGAAUGUUUUUAAUGUACCAUCUGCAUUAUAUAAAUUGUCCCAUUAAUCCUCCAAACCAUUCUAAGAGGACAGGUUUUGCCUUAAGUUAUCCAGAUGUUGCAUGGUGAGGUGAAGGACUCCAACAGUUUUAUUCGUUGAGAAAAGCAGAAUCCUUUUUUUUUUCAUUAACAAUGAGAAUGAAUUUUCCUAUUCCAUCAAGAUUUCUAUGUGGCCAUCUCUUCAGGACAUAGGUAUCAGCUACUGUUUUAAAUUUAGGAAAUGCACACACAUAUGCAACCAACCACAUAAUGUUUCCAAAGCAAUAUAUUGAGAUUGAUACAAAUACACAUUUUUCAAGAAUCCUGGACUAAUCCCACACUACUCUGAGCCUUCUUUACUUUUUAAGCCUCUUUAUUUCUAUUAUAUGACUGUGAACUAAGUAGAUUUAACUUUUGUAUGCUUUUAAAAUCAGUUAUAUUUUCUGAUAUGUGAUAACAAAUAUACUGUGUAUUUCAUUGAAACGUAGAGGAAAACUGCUCUUUUUUUCCUUUUAAAAUCAGUGCCUAUGGUAUAGUCAACAAAGUAUUUAAUGAGUGGCUAUUUUGAGCCAUUUUUAAUUGGCUGGACUACUGCAGACAUACCAUUUUAAAUGAUUACACAUAUGUCUAGAGAAUCAGCAUAGGAUUUUUGUUUUUCCUUUGAGAUUGAACAAUUUUUAUUUCAUCAUUACUAAAACUUAGCUGACAAUUUUUAUUUUUUCAUUACUAAAACUUAGCUGGAUGUCAGUUUCUGCCUUUAAAUAAAAUAUCCAAAUCCAGGAUUAUUCUCAAUUGCAAAAAUGCAGCUGGUCUCAACUAUUCCUUUUAUAUUUUCUUUCACAUAGGGUAGAAAAUGGUGAAUCAUUGUACUUUCAUAUAAUAAAAAGAUGUCUUCAAUUUUAAAUGUAAUUGUCCUUUCUUGAGUAACUUCUAAAUGAAGUGAAACCACAAAGGCAGUUUGGCACACUAUUGAUUCUAUCCUGGUUAUCUUUUUUGUCAGGCUAGAAUGUGAAGGGAAAGGGUUUGGAGCACAGAAUGGUUUUCCUUUUAAAGAAAAAAAAUUGAAUGAAAAAUUGGCAAUGAAAAUAAAAUACUGGACCUAGAUUCCCAACUCUGUGAAUGUUGUUAUUAUUAGCCUCCACCUUCUCUAGCCCUGUUGCUGGAGCCAGACGCACUAGUCUCUCCUUCAGGCUGAACCUAAUCCUGUCAUAAUAAAGAAUCCUUCAGAAACCUUCACUUUGUCAACUGAUGGAUUUUUGAAUUCGAUAUUUUUUCAGACCCACUGUUCAGUGUUCUUGUAGUGGAUCGACCAGAUCUGCGUUUUACUCCAAGUCCAAACCUAGUGUUCUAGUUCAUACA